GCAUGCGCGGCUACCAUGCAGUCGAGCGGAACGAGUUAUCUGAACCUUCGGGGAACGAUAACGGCGUCGAGCGGCGGACGGGUGAGUAAUGCCUAGGAAAUUGCCCUGAUGUGGGGGAUAACCAUUGGAAACGAUGGCUAAUACCGCAUAAUGCCUACGGGCCAAAGAGGGGGACCUUCGGGCCUCUCGCGUCAGGAUAUGCCUAGGUGGGAUUAGCUAGUUGGUGAGGUAAGGGCUCACCAAGGCGACGAUCCCUAGCUGGUCUGAGAGGAUGAUCAGCCACACUGGAACUGAGACACGGUCCAGACUCCUACGGGAGGCAGCAGUGGGGAAUAUUGCACAAUGGGCGCAAGCCUGAUGCAGCCAUGCCGCGUGUGUGAAGAAGGCCUUCGGGUUGUAAAGCACUUUCAGUCGUGAGGAAGGUAGUGUAGUUAAUAGCUGCAUUAUUUGACGUUAGCGACAGAAGAAGCACCGGCUAACUCCGUGCCAGCAGCCGCGGUAAUACGGAGGGUGCGAGCGUUAAUCGGAAUUACUGGGCGUAAAGCGCAUGCAGGUGGUUUGUUAAGUCAGAUGUGAAAGCCCGGGGCUCAACCUCGGAAUUGCAUUUGAAACUGGCAGACUAGAGUACUGUAGAGGGGGGUAGAAUUUCAGGUGUAGCGGUGAAAUGCGUAGAGAUCUGAAGGAAUACCGGUGGCGAAGGCGGCCCCCUGGACAGAUACUGACACUCAGAUGCGAAAGCGUGGGGAGCAAACAGGAUUAGAUACCCUGGUAGUCCACGCCGUAAACGAUGUCUACUUGGAGGUUGUGGCCUUGAGCCGUGGCUUUCGGAGCUAACGCGUUAAGUAGACCGCCUGGGGAGUACGGUCGCAAGAUUAAAACUCAAAUGAAUUGACGGGGGCCCGCACAAGCGGUGGAGCAUGUGGUUUAAUUCGAUGCAACGCGAAGAACCUUACCUACUCUUGACAUCCAGAGAACUUUCCAGAGAUGGAUUGGUGCCUUCGGGAACUCUGAGACAGGUGCUGCAUGGCUG
rnacentral:rRNA from 1 species